CAUUUGGUGGAUAGUUCGGCUCAAGUGCUGAUGAAGGACGUGCCAAGCUGCGAUAAGCUCUGGCGAGGUGCAUGGAACCUUUGAACCAGAGAUCUCCGAAUGAGACUUCUUGAUGUGACGCGAGUCGCAUCGAUCCUUCGGGAUCGGGAACGCUCCGAAUUGAAACAUCUCAGUAGGAGCAGGAAGAGAAAUCAAUUGAGAUGCUGUGAGUAACGGCGAGUGAAAUCAGCAGAGUUCAAACCGAAUCUUUUUUCGAGAGAAAAAAGAGAUGUGGUGUUGUAGAGCAGAUCAUAUACUGUCCAGACAGUUAAGUCGAACUCAUCUGGAACGUUGGGCUACAGAGCGUGAUAGCCGCGUAGACGUAAACUUGCUGGAUUGUGAUCUGUUUCUCGAGUACCGUGGGUCGGAAAUCCCGCGGAAAUCUGGGAGACAUCAACUUCCAAAACUAAAUACUUUCUUGAGACCGAUAGCAGAGUAGUACCGUGAGGGAAGACUGAAAAGCAUCCAACAGAUGGAGGUGCAAAGUGCUUGAAACCAAAUGGUGAUGGUGUGGUAUGGCGCAAAAGGUUCUUCGUCGCGAAGGAGGCAGUCGCGAGGCUGUAGUACGGGCGGCGUUGCCGGUGUCAUAUCGUACGUUUUGAAGAACGGGCCAGGGAGUGUAUCUUGGUGGCGAGACUAACGCUUGAAAAGCGGAAGUCGAAGCGAAAGCAACACGCGCGUAGCCCUUAAUCGGGCAUGGCGCGGGGUAUACAAGUGCCUGGAGUCACUGGGAUACGACCCGAAGCCGGGCGAUCUAUGCGUGGGCAGGUUGAAGCGUGGCGAAAGCCGCGUGGAGGACCGUUAGCGGUACUGAUAUGCAAAUCGUUCGCGUGACCUGCGUAUAGGGGUGAAAGGCCAAUCGAGCCCGGCAUCAUCUGGUUCCUUCCGAAACAUGUCGCAGCAUGACCUGAUUGGAGAUCGUUAGCGGUGUAGAGCACUGAUUGGGGGUGUCGGGGGAGAAAUCCCUCGCCCCCUUGUCAAACUCCAAAGCCGCUAUCAUCGUAGAAGAUCGGAGUCCGGGCACGGGGUAAGCUCGUUGUCCGUAAGGGAAACAACCCGGACCGUGGUUAAGGUCCCCAAGUAUCGGCUAAGUGUUAACACUAAAGGGCGUCCCAGGCCAUAGACAACUGGAAGGUUAGCUUAGAAGCAGCUAUCCUCUAAGGAGUGCGUAACAGCCCACCAGUCGAGGUUUGGGGCCCCAAAAAUGGACGGGGCUCAAGCCGAUCACCGAUACCACGGAGCACCGAAACAACCUUUUCAGAAAAAGGUUGAUCAAAAACAUCCUACUUCGGUAGGAUUAAUAUUGAUGAACCGGUGAAAAGGUUCUGGUGAUCUCGUAGGAAGGCGUCCUGUUUGGGCAGAAGCAGGGUUGUAAAAUCCUGUGGACCAUGCAGGAACGAAAAUCCUGGUAAUAGUAGCAGCAAAGUUAGGUGAGAAUCCUAACCGCCGAAGGGGCUAGGUUUCCUCGGCAAUGUUCGUCAGCCGAGGGUUAGUCGGUCCUAAGACGUAUCGUAAUUCGAGUACGCCGAAAGGGAAACAGGUUAAUAUUCCUGUACCAUCUAAACUGUAUCCGAAAAGGACCUGACGCAUCCGGAUAGGUCGAGCAGUGCCGUCGCGCUGCUCAAGCACCGAAGCAGGUGGAGAGCCGUAAUGGCGAGAAGCCUGUGAAUGUGUGAUGACAAAAGUCGACUGAGUCCAGGUGCCCGUGAAAAGGGAGUUUUGAUGUCCGUACCGAGAACCGACACAGGUGCCCCUAGCUGAGAAGGCUAAGGCGUGUCGGAGGACACUAGCUAAGGGAAUUCGGCAAAUUGGCUCCGUAACUUCGGGAGAAGGAGUGCCUGCCUUGUAAGAGGCAGGUCGCAGUGACCAGAGAGCUCUAACUGUCUAAUAACAACAUAGCGGAUCGCGAACCCGUAAGGGCUAGUACGAUCCGUGAAUCCUGCCCAGUGCAGGUACCUGAAACCCCGGUUCAACGGGAUGAAGGGCCUGUCAACGGCGGGGGUAACUAUAACCCUCUUAAGGUAGCGUAGUACCUUGCCGCUUAAUUGGCGGCUUGCAUGAAUGGAUCAAUGAGAGUUCUACUGUCCCUAGCUAGAAUCCGGUGAAGCUUACAUUCCAGUGCAGAGUCUGGAGACCCCUAAUGGGAAGUGAAGACCCCGUGGAGCUUUACUGCAGCCUGUUGCUGGGUUGUGGUUCUGGAUGUGAAGGAUAGGUAGGAGGCUUAGAAGCGCUCUCGCCAGGGAGCGUGGAGCCGACCUUGGGAUACUACCCUUUCAGAAUUGCGACUCUUACCCUUCUAACGGAGGGGACCCCGAUAGGUGGGCAGUUUGGGUGGGGCGCCACGCCCUCGAAAAGAUAUCAAGGGCGCCCUAAGGUUGACUCAUCAGAGUCGGAAACUCUGAGAAGAGUGCAAGAGCAUAAGUCAGCCUGACGUGAUUUCGCAUAGCAGGGAAUCGCGAGACGAAAGUCGGGUCUAGCGAACCUACGAAGCUUAUUGUUGGUGCUCGUAGACGACAGAAAAGCUACCCCGGGGAUAACAGAGUCGUCACCGGCAAGAGUACAUAUCGACCCGGUGGCUUGCUACCUCGAUGUCGGUUCUUUCCAUCCUGGCUGUGCAGCAGCAGCCAAGGGUGAGGUUGUUCGCCUAUUAAAGGAGAUCGUGAGCUGGGUUUAGACCGUUGUGAGACAGGUCGGUUACUAUCUAUUAGGGGUGUUUUGAAGUCUGAGGGUAAGUUGCUUUUAGUACGAGAGGAACAGAGCAACGGUGCCUCUAGUCGAUCGGUUGUCUGACAAGGCACUGCCGAGCAGCCACGCACUAACGGAUAAGGGCUGAAAGCAUCUAAGCCCGAAACCAAACCUGAAAAGAGACUUCUUUAAGGAUACUUGUAAAAGACAAGUUUGAUAG
rnacentral:rRNA from 1 species